rnacentral:rRNA from 1 species
AGAUUGAACGCUGGCGGCAUGCCUAACACAUGCAAGUCGAACGGGAGUAGCAAUACUCUAGUGGCGGACGGGUGAGGAAUACGUAGGAAUUUGCCCUUAAGUGGGGGAUAACCCGGGGAAACCCGGAUUAAUACCGCAUGACCUCGAAAGAGCAAAGUGGGGGAUCGCAAGACCUCACGCUUUUGGAGAAGCCUACGUCGGAUUAGCUAGUUGGUGAGGUAAUGGCUCACCAAGGCGACGAUCCGUAACUGGUCUGAGAGGAUGAUCAGUCACACCGGAACUGAGACACGGUCCGGACUCCUACGGGAGCAGCAGUGGGGAAUAUUGGACAUGGGCGCAAGCCUGAUCCAGCAA